ACAAACAGACCUGUGUUUCAAAUGUGGAACUGUGUAGUUGCUCCUUGUAUAGAUGAUACUAACUUUUUAUAUACUUUAAAUGUGGUAAUUGAGAAAGCCAUGUUACAUUUUUCAGAUGAUAUUUUUUAAAAAUCUUCAUGUUUGUUCAGACUUGAAUGUUUCUAUAUAGUUUUCUAUAUAGUUCAAUUUAUAAAUUGUUAGGAUCAAUAUAUAGCUCACUAAUGAGGCAGGAAUUUGAGUUUAUUCUUUAUUAUAGAUAUGAAUCUUGUAACUGUGAAUGUCACAGUUGUUUCUUCUAAUAUUUGUGCUUGGCCACAGACUCUAUUCUAGUUCCAGGAGUUUUGAACUAAUAUCAGCUGUUGGUAUCUCCAGUGUUAGUGAUAUCAAAAAUUUAAGAUGGGAGCAUUUGAAUAUGCUAAAUAGCUUAUAAAGAAAUUACUAUAUAUUGUUAUAAUGAUCUAUGAUCCCUAGUUGUUCAUCUUAAACCUCUCAUGCUUCACAGGGAACAGUGUGUUUAUUUAUAAACUUACAGCUGUUCUUCUGCGAGAACCAAUUUAUUUGAUGAAAUGACUAGACCCUGGUCGUGGCAAAUAGCACCUUUUUGAAAUCUCUGAAAUAAAAGUAAUAUAGGACACAGAUAGACAUGUGGCUAUCCUCUGAAAAGCAUGUCAGAAACAACAGUUUAUCUUCUCCUUGGAAACAAAGAGUUAAUACUGACUAUAAUAAUAUAACAUGUGCCCUUUCUGGUGUUUUUCUCCAACUCAACCACUUCUAACAAAAUUACAUGAAUACACUUUAUGACUGUAUUAGACAUGAUCUCUCUUACAUACAGUUGGCCAUGUAUUUUCUUUAGUUCAUCUAGAUAAUUGAAAUAUAUUAUAACUAAAUGAGUGGUUUGGUUGGUUUUAGUAAGAGUAUAUUUUCGUGUUUUGGUGGUUCUAACAGUUUUACUUAUAAUUUUAAAUCUCCAAAAGCUACCUAGGUGAUUCUAGAGAAAGGUUUCUUUAAAUGUUAUCAUUCAUAAGCACAUCUUUUAGAAAAUUUAAAGUAGGUCUUUUGUAUUCAAAAAGGAGGUAAAAUGGUUAAGUGGCAUUUCCCUCCAUGCCAGUUUCAUGUUGAUUUUAUGGAAGUUCUGUAGCCAUUUUAAGUUCACAUGCAUAGAUCACAGCUUUAUUGUAAAACCGUACACACUCUGUACGAGUAAAGAGCCUAAUAGUAAUUUGAGAUGUCUUAAUAGAGUCUAAUAAUAAUUUGAGAUGUUCAGCCUUUUCAGGUACAAACUUGGAAUGAAAAAUUGUUAACUUAC
rnacentral:lncRNA from 1 species